rnacentral:lncRNA from 1 species
CCACUACUGAAGCAUUCAACUGUUGUGAUUGUUGUUGGAUAUCAUAUAUUAUUCAUUACAAUGUCCAGGGUUUCGGAAUUGUUAUAAUUUUAGGGGAGGUUCUGCCGAAAUUUCAGUUUUAUUUGUUGUGUUUGUUUGAUUGUUUUUUAUAAUUUUUUUCAGCAAAGAAAAAUACUCGGUUAUAAUUUCAGGGGAGGUUCUGCGCGCACAGUUGUCGGUAAGUAUCCUA